UGGGGAAUAUUGGACAAUGGGCGAAAGCCUGAUCCAGCCAUGCCGCGUGUGUGAAGAAGGUCUUCGGAUUGUAAAGCACUUUAAGUUGGGAGGAAGGGCAUUAACCUAAUACGUUAGUGUUUUGACGUUACCGACAGAAUAAGCACCGGCUAACUCUGUGCCAGCAGCCGCGGUAAUACAGAGGGUGCAAGCGUUAAUCGGAAUUACUGGGCGUAAAGCGCGCGUAGGUGGUGUGUUAAGUUGGAUGUGAAAUCCCCGGGCUCAACCUGGGAACUGCAUUCAAAACUGACUGACUAGAGUAUGGUAGAGGGUGGUGGAAUUUCCUGUGUAGCGGUGAAAUGCGUAGAUAUAGGAAGGAACACCAGUG
rnacentral:rRNA from 1 species